GUCGAGCGAAUGGAUUAAGAGCUUGCUCUUAUGAAGUUAGCGGCGGACGGGUGAGUAACACGUGGGUAACCUGCCCAUAAGACUGGGAUAACUCCGGGAAACCGGGGCUAAUACCGGAUAAUAUUUUGAACCGCAUGGUUCGAAAUUGAAAGGCGGCUUCGGCUGUCACUUAUGGAUGGACCCGCGUCGCAUUAGCUAGUUGGUGAGGUAACGGCUCACCAAGGCAACGAUGCGUAGCCGACCUGAGAGGGUGAUCGGCCACACUGGGACUGAGACACGGCCCAGACUCCUACGGGAGGCAGCAGUAGGGAAUCUUCCGCAAUGGACGAAAGUCUGACGGAGCAACGCCGCGUGAGUGAUGAAGGCUUUCGGGUCGUAAAACUCUGUUGUUAGGGAAGAACAAGUGCUAGUUGAAUAAGCUGGCACCUUGACGGUACCUAACCAGAAAGCCACGGCUAACUACGUGCCAGCAGCCGCGGUAAUACGUAGGUGGCAAGCGUUAUCCGGAAUUAUUGGGCGUAAAGCGCGCGCAGGUGGUUUCUUAAGUCUGAUGUGAAAGCCCACGGCUCAACCGUGGAGGGUCAUUGGAAACUGGGAGACUUGAGUGCAGAAGAGGAAAGUGGAAUUCCAUGUGUAGCGGUGAAAUGCGUAGAGAUAUGGAGGAACACCAGUGGCGAAGGCGACUUUCUGGUCUGUAACUGACACUGAGGCGCGAAAGCGUGGGGAGCAAAC
rnacentral:rRNA from 1 species